UACGUAGGUGGCAAGCGUUGUCCGGAAUUAUUGGGCGUAAAGCGCGCGCAGGCGGCCUCUUAAGUCUGAUGUGAAAGCCCCCGGCUCAACCGGGGAGGGCCAUUGGAAACUGGGAGGCUUGAGUAUAGGAGAGAAGAGUGGAAUUCCACGUGUAGCGGUGAAAUGCGUAGAGAUGUGGGGGAACACCAGUGGCGAAGGCGACUCUUUGGCCUAUAACUGACGCUGAGGCGCGAAAGCGUGGGGAGCAAACAGG
rnacentral:rRNA from 1 species